AUCCAGUUGACGAGUCCCAAAUAGGACGAAACGCGCGUCAAACUAGAU
rnacentral:hammerhead_ribozyme from 1 species